UUCUUCAUCCUUUUCAGAACCCUUAAUGGCCUCACCUAACCCCCAAGCAUCCUGACCGUCAGAUCAUUGUAAUCCUUCCUUCUUUGCCGUCCGAUCAUUAUCAUCUAUUUCAAUCCAAUUAGGAAGUCCCUGGCCCUUGUAUAAACCCAAAUUCAACACUCUUUCCCAAAAUUUUCCGUUCUUUGAUUUCUUUCACAAAUUCAGUUCAAUUCUUUUCUCGUUUUUUUACUGAUUAUGAGAUUCAAGAAAGGUGGCAAAGUUGAGGUAUUGACCAAGAAGGACGUUCCAACCGGCGGGUUCCGCUGUGCCGAGAUUAUCUACGGCAACGUUCACACGUGCAGCGUGAAGUAUGGUUGGCUUCCGAUUGCUGGCGAGGCGGCGGCGGAGGGAUUCCCUAGGAAAGCGAUUAGGCCUUGCCCUCCUCCGAUAAACGAGACCGAUGAUUGGGUUUCUGGCGAUGUUGUAGAGGUGUUCGACGGGUUGUGUUGGAAGCCGGCGGUGAUCGUUAAGGUUUUCGGUGUAAACAUCUUUUCUGUCAGGGUUGUUGGAUCGAAUAGCGAACACAAAGCACAUCAAUGUCGAUUGCGUUUUCGACAAUCUUGGGAAGUUGGCAAUUGGUUCCUCGUUGGAAAGGGUUCGUCAAAUUCCACUGAACCGUUAAAGAGAAAAAGAUCUUCGCUUGGCUUCUCGGAUGUUGGUUGGCAGAAGAAGAGGUAGAUUGAAAAUUGUUGUAUUGGUGGUAAAAGAAUAAUAGUUCGGCUUCCUUUACCUGCCUCUGAAAAGGCAGAUGCAUUUGUUUCCCCCAAAUAUAUACUGGGUGAAAGAUGUAUGCCUUCUUCUUUCCAUAGAAUUGAUGAUACCACGGGUUGCGAAUCUUCUGCUGUUUAGGGAAUAAUGGUCUUAACAUGUCUCCGAGUUCUGUAGCAACCGUUGUGAAAACUUAGAGGAUUAUAGUAACCAUGCUGACUCGUAUUCUGAAUGGAGAUGUAGAGAAGAAGGAAGUUUUAGUUCCACAAGUGUGGAAUUGGGAACGGAUUUUCACAGGUCCGAGCUACAUGCCUAUCAGCAAGCUCUUGAGGCAUUGUAUGCUUCUGGGCCUUUGACUUGGGAAGAAGAAGAGAAGGUGCGGUAUAUUAUUAGUUGGAUAUGAAUAUUAACUCAGCAGAGUAGAAAGCUACUUCCUCUAAGGAAUAUUGUUGAGUAAUAGCAUUUAAAUGCAAAGAGGUGAUAUAUAUUUUAGUUACUGGGAAGGAUACUGUAUGAUGAAUUCCACUGUACAAGUAUCCAAGUUUCUGAAAUUUUAAGAUGUAUAGCCUGGUUACUCAGCAAGUUUAAGUUUCAACAGUUUUUGUCUCUAAAUUUCUGUUUGACCUUGUCCAUGUUCACCAACUUCGCUCUUGUAAAUUGUGAUGUGAUGCUAGCUGGUUUAUGGAUUCUAGCUGGAAUUGUAUAUAUUUGCAGUUUUAUACAUGUUACAUCAUCUCAUGAUGUUGGGUAUGAUACUAUAAUUUCUUUAUUUCAGCAAUAUAUGGAAUUUAUGUUGAAGAAUGUCUUGAUGCUUUCUCAGAAUAUCUCAUGGCCAAUGUUGGAGGCAACCAUACCUUGCUUCAAAAGCCAUAAUGGGGUUAAGUUUGUUACCUCUUGCAGUUGACCAGGGGGAAACAUCCAUGGUUUAUUCCCUAAUGGAACCCUUAAGCCUUGCUGUUGGUAAGAAUUUGCUUUUUAUAAUCUUUUCAAAUUUGGAUUUUCUAUGAAAAUGCUGGUAUAGGUUAUUGUAUAUCUUGUUGCAUAUAAAUCAAGAUAAUCUACAAAAUGCCCUCCAGUUCUAAUAUGUGAAUUGAUAGGUUGCAUUUGUACUUGCAGAAAGAGAGUUCUUUAUUUUUUGGACAAUACAAGAGAAUUCAAGUUGUGCAUAUCCAAUAAUGGAACAUUUAUGCUGGAUAAUUAAUAAAUGGCUCUCAACCUCCCUCCACAUCCACUCUUUCUAUAUGCAAAGGCUUCUCAUAUUAAAUGAUUGAGUAGACAAGAAUAUGCUACUAUCUUUGAACCUUAUGAGAUUAAUUUUAGUGUUCUGAGGCUCUAUUCUAACUCUGUCAUUCUCUGUUUAAACAACUUUGUCCAUUCUGAUUAUUGAUGAUAUGGAUCAAUUAAAAUCUCUAUUUACGUACUAUGAUCAAAUGGUGUUUUAAAUGCAUAGGUUUUUGCUCAAACUUGAUAGAUGGCUGCUUCUGAGUCCCUUUGAUGAACUCCAAGUUCGAAAACCUUCAUGCCCAUGAGAGUGAUGUGCUAUCGGAUGAGAAUCCAUGCUGUGAGUAACAGGUUCUUUUCCCUAAUCUUGUCCGGUUGGUGAUGCUUUGAGAGAUGUGUAUGGAUUGAUGUUUGAUGAGAAGAGUGUUUGUUAUAUAUUAAGAUUUUGGAUUCUUAUUCAAUAUUGUGGCAUGCAGCAUGGACUGAAAGAGUUGCUUUAGUCCUACCCUUUUGUAAUAGGUAGGUUCCUCUCAAUUGCUAAGUCUUGUUCGCUAUUUGCUAUUUACAUGUGUUAUGCUACCUUUGCCAUUUUCUUUGAGACUGGGGAGAGUGCUGGUUUAGGGUUUUAAAGCAUUUACUAUUGGGACAUUUUGUGCUUUUAGAUUUUAGCCCAAUUGAAGUUUUAAAGUGAUUGAAUAUAUGUAGUUACCUCAGUUGUGAAAAAUCUUGAUGCAAUACUUGAUUUGGUUCAUAGAUAUUCUAGUGAAGAUUAUUGGUCAGAAAUAUCAAAAUAUAUAUUAGAAAAUUUUCUACAGACUGAUUUCUCGAACAAAGUUCUAAUGUCAGUCAGUUUUAUAUGUCAUAUGAUUAUGGUUCUGUAUUUUAAAUGUUUACUUGAUAGCCGGAGAUUAUUAUCUUAUGCUCCCAAUAUACUGUUUCAAUUGCAAUUUUGUUGUUUAAAAAAAAUUCUAGUGGUUACAAUAGAACAUUCUGCUGUUCUCCUUCCUUUUUAUGAUAUUUUAGCAGCACAAGGGCCAGGAGUGUACAUUGCUGAUCUCUGUGAUAUAUUUCCUUCUCACUAUAGCUGCAGGCUUGAGCAUAUUGAUAUGAUGCCAGCAUCAUCUGAUUAUUCUCAGACAUAUUUGCAGGGACCCAAUUUAGUUCUAAACUUAGGGCCUCGAUGUUGCAGACUGUAAUUCUAUAACUGGGUCUUUUAAUAGAAUGAUUUUCUUUUCUUUUUUGGUAUGAUUGUCU